GAUGAAGAACGCAGCGAAAUGCGAUAAGUAAUGUGAAUUGCAGAAUUCAGUGAAUCAUCGAAUCUUUGAACGCACAUUGCGCCCGCCAGUAUUCUGGCGGGCAUGCCUGUUCGAGCGUCAUUUCAACCAUCAAGCCCCGGGCUUGUGUUGGGGACCUGCGGCUGCCGCAGGCCCUGAAAUGCAGUGGCGGGCUCGCUGUCACUCCGAGCGUAGUAGUUACAUCUCGCUCUGGGCGUGCUGCGGGUUCCGGCCGUUAAAAGCCUUAUUUACCCAAGGUUGACCUCGGAUCAGGUAGGAAGACCCGCUGAACUUAAGCAUAUCAAUAGCGGAGGA
rnacentral:misc_RNA from 1 species